AUGAGCCUGCCCUGCCCCUGGUUGGACAAGGACUCCUAUCCCCACCCCUGCAGCAGGUCCUGGCCCCACGGUCUCCCACCAUGGCCAUGGCCCCACGGCCUGUCCCCACCCCAGCAGCAGGUCCUGGCCCCAUGGCCUCCCCCAACGACCAUCCGGAGCCCUGCCUGCACCUGCCGCCCCUGCCCCCACCCUCUGCCUGGCUCCUCCUUAGGGAAGGAAGUCUUUCCUCAAAGGAAUUUCCACCACCCUCCCUGCCUCCCAGCUGGGUUCUGCCACCACACCACACACACCACACACAGCACACAUCACAAAACACAUGACACGCACACCACACACACCACACACACACCACACAUCACACACACACCACACACACCCACACACACCACACACAUCACACACACAGCACACACACCACACACCACACACACCACACACACCACACAUCACACACACACCACACACACCACACACACACCACACAUCACACACACAGCACACACACCACACACCACACACACCACACACACCACACAUCACACACACAGCACACACACCACACACACCACACACACCACACACAGCACACACACACCACACACACCACACACAGCACACACACCACAUCAUCACACACACACCAAUAAUACUAACCACAAUACCACCACACACAUCACACACACACACCACACACAGCACACAAUAUACCACACACACCACACAUCCUCACACACACCACACACACCACACACACAGCACACCCAGCACACACACCACACACAGCACACCCAGCACACACAGCACACACACAGCACACACAGCACACACAGCACACACACCACACACAGCACACACGCCACACAUCACACACACACCACACACACCACACACACCACACAUCACACACACACCACACACACCACACACACCACACACAGCACACCCAGCACACACACACCACACACAGCACACCCAGCACACACACCACAUCACACACACACCACACACACCACACAUCACACACACCACACAUCACACACACACCACACACACAGCACACACAGCACACACAGCACACACCACACACAUCACACACACCACACACACACCACACACACACAGCACACACACCACACACACCACACACAGAACACAUCACACACACAGCACACACAGCACACACAGCACACACAGCAUACACCACACACACCACACACCACACACAUCACACACACACCACACACACAGCACACACACCACACACACCACACACCACACACACAGCAUACACUGCUCACACUAAUAACCACACACACCACACAUCAACACACACCACACACACAGCACACACACCACACACACACCACACACACCACACAUCACAAAACACAUGACACGCACACCACACACAACACCACACAUGAUAUAUACACACCACACACCACAAAACUCCAUACACACCACACACACACCAUACACAGCACACACCAGUAA
rnacentral:lncRNA from 1 species